CACCUCUCUUUUCAUCUCGUUUCACCAAAAUCGGAGUCACAUACUUUGAUAUAUCUUAGUACUUACGGGAUGUAUGAAAAACUUUGAUCAAUGAGUCUCUAUCAUGAUGUUUAUUUUCAGCUCACUGUCACAUGCAACACACAUCAUAUCCUGAAAUCUGAGCAACCCAUCGGUAGAGACUCAAAAUUUUGAAUUUACUCCAUGUUCUGCAUCUUUCUUGAGGGCUGCUGGGGUGGAAUCGACAGAUUGUGCUUCUUUUAUUCUCUGGAUCAACUCAGGUUGAACAGUCAGGUGGCCCAAAUAUAUAACUUUCUUCAGAUCCUGAAAUUGUACCUGUAGUUCGGUCCCUAUUAUAUUGCAUUCUGAAACCAUUAAGUGAGCUAAUAUACAUACACUUUUUCUGCUGAGUGCGUCG
rnacentral:lncRNA from 1 species